GGGAAAUGAGCAGGCAUUUUCUUUCAACUUCUGGGUGAAAUUAUAUGCAACUACAGAGUAGGGCAUCCCAGGGGCAUGGGUGGUGCUUUAGUUGGUGGUAGAAAGGUUGGUUCCUUUUUUUUAAGAUUUUAUUUAUAUGAGAGAGAGACACACAGCGAGAGAGGGAACACAAGCAGGGGGAGAGGGAGAAGCAGGCCUCCCGCCGAGCAGGGAGCCCGAUGCAGGCGGGGCUCCAUCCCGGGACCCCGGCACCAUGACCAGAGCCGAAAGGAAGACGCUCAACGACUGAGCCACCCAGGCGCCCCUAAAGGAUAUCUGGCAACAUGGGACCCAUUCCUGCAUCGCAACAGUGAGCUAAAGCUUAUGGUUUCUACAGAGUUCUCUCCAGGCCUGUGUUGGGCCCUCUCAGUCUGGAAAUUCAUAUUCUUCCUUUCUGGGAAAUGUUCUUACGUGAUUUUCUUGACAACAUCUCCUCCCCGUGCUCCCACAUUUUUUGUUCUAUAUCUCUGAAGCCUAUUAGUUGGACUUUCUUAUAUAUAUAUGAAGAUAUCAAUAAUAGAUAUUUGGCUUUAGAAAGAUCUUUCAGGUAGCAGUUUGAAGGAUAGUUUAGGAACCGAGGCUUGAACCGGCAAGAACAGACAGAAAAUUUAAAUAGACAAGGGCAGAACUAAUUGGUAAGAACUUGAACUGAAGGACAAAGAGAAGGAGAAAUAACAAAUAUUCAGAAAGUAGAAUGGGGGGACUUUGUGGACACUGAAGACAGUGAGAAAGGGAGAGGAAUCGAGAAAGACUCUCAGAAGUAGGACCUGGGCAAUGGGGAAGGUGUUCCCUAAAAGAAGUGAAAUGCACGGGGACAUCAUUGGAUUAUUUGGAGCAGGGGAGUCACUUGAUCAGAUUGAGAUUUUUGAAAGAUUACUUACUAAAACUAACAGGUGUCAAUUUGAUCUGAGAAAUGGGAUAUUUACAUAGUUGCAAAGUACCUAAAAAAUACUUAGUAAUUACAAAAGAAAAUAUUCACUUCACAAUGGUAAACUUGGAGCAUGUUGGAGGAGGUCAUUGAGAAGACACGACCAUCAUUUGACCCUCCAGCUGGACUGGAGCCUCUUCACCCCUCCCUUGUCCUUGGUAUGUAAGUUCGGCCCACCAUUCCCACAGCAGGAGCUGUUCCAAGGACAUAGCCUCGAGACAGUAAGGUGUUGAAACCAUCUGGGUGGUAUAUGUAACAACCUAGUUAAGGCCUCUGUAUAAUAAACUUUUAA